CACAUCCAAUCGAAGUCCCUUGAUUCUACCCAGCAUCGGACUCACUGGGAACCACAAAAUCCCACCAGUCUCUUGGCGCAGUGAGCAGGGUGAGAAAUAUCUUUCCGGAUCACAACCUACAAUCUAAUUAGAGGAUGGCCAAACGCACAUGAAAGGCUUAGAAGUGAUCCUGCAGCACUUGGCAGACAGUGGGGAAAGAAAUCUUCGGCAGUCCAGGUGGCAAGAUGGACUCGAUGGGAAACGAGCUUGCUAAUGCCUUCAGUACGUCUGCAACGAGCGUCAUCGCUAAACCCUGCCACCCUCACGCCUAGCCCAGAUGAGGGACACCCGCAUCGGUGUUGCCUUAAGGAAGAGCCCAUGGACCUUCCAUUGGUAAAAGAAACUGCAAUACCUGGUGCCCCUUGCCUAUACGUGGAUGGUUCUUCCUCCUACAUGGAUGGCAAGUGACACACAGGAUGGGCUGUUUGUACGCAAGAUGGGCAGCUGGUGACACCUGGCAGUUUACUUGGGGCAUCAGCACAAGUAACAGAACUGCAGGUGUUAGUUGCGCAUGUGAAGCCGCGGAAGGUCAUGCUAUAAACAUAGAUACUAAUUCUAGAUGUGUGUUUGGGGUUGUAGAUAAUUACAUUAACUCGUGGGUAAAUCGGGGAUUCCUGACAAGUACAGGAUCCCAAUACAAAAUGGGGGGAUAGUGCAGAAACGUCAUGCAGCCAUGCAGAAACCUACCGACAUAGCAGUGUUAAAAGUGAAGGCCCACACAGAAGGGAGGGGAACCGAAGGGCAGAUGAACUAGCUAAACAAGCAGCAGUGGAAGGUAAAGAGACCCAAUUGGUUGCUGCAACACAGCCUCUCAUAAAACCCCCAAACUUUUUUGAAUUACAGGACAUUCAGCACACUGCCCCAAGGGCAGAGAAGUGGUUAUGGAUGGAUAAUGGGGGCAAUCUGUGUGAUGAUAACACUUGGAGAGGGCCAGGGAACACAUUAGUGUUACCAAAUGUGCUAAUGGGAACUAUUAUUCAAGUGUAUCACAUGUUGGGACAUGAUGGAGCAUGGAGGGUGAUCCACCGUAUGUCAAACACCUGGUGGCAUCCUAAGCUUAAUGCAGACGUGCAUGAUUAUGUGAGAAGGCGUGUAACGUGUGCUCAAUAUAAUUCUGCUCCCACAGUGAAAAUGAAAAUGCAGCAUCAGCCAAGACCAACACAGCCCUUCACGCAGUUACAAAUAGAUGGAAUUGGUCCCCUGCCAAGGUGCAGAGGGAAAGAAUAUGUUCUGGUGAUCAUGGAUCACUUUACUAAGGCGGGCGAUGAGGACGCCAGGAAAUCUGUGCAUUGUAGGGGGGGAAUUGUAUGUCAUGGGUGACCAGCCUGUUGAAUAUUGCAAAUUGUUAUCGCAGUGUGUCUCACAGGACCCCCGAACUGAGCCAGACUCAAAGGCUGGCAAAGAGGACAUAUGUGAGGUGCAGCCUGGUGACCAGGUGAUGGUGAAAGCCUAUAGAAAACGAACCUUUGAACCAGCCUGGACUGGGCCUCACACGCUUCUCUUAGUAACUCCUUCAGCAGCCCGGGUCACUGGAAUUCCAGUUCGGGUGCACCUGUCACGUGUAAAAGUAUUCAAGGGUGAGACCCAACAUGGGGCACAACAAUCCCUGUUUACUCUAUGGACUCCUGGAAAGCCGCUCGUAAUAUUGUUAAGUGUUUGCAGCUGAUAUUCCCAGUUUAAAAUUGAUGUAGGAAUUUUUGUAGUCUACUAAUUGUGUUGAGUGGUUUUGAAAGUUUCAUCUUAAUAAUGCUGCAGUGGCUUUCAGUGUUUUACUGAUGUAAUCACCUGGGGAGGAGCCACUGGAUCAGUUGUAAAUGCCAUUACUGAAAUCUAAUCAUAGGGACUGGGUUAAAAUUUGUCUGUAGCAGGAAUGACAGUUCAUUGUGGUGAGAGUGGGGCUCACGUCUCAUCAAGUUAGCUAUUCCCUUAACUCAGCAACAGUUGGUUAGGUCCUCACUGUUGUACUCAGCCAUCUCUUAACAACUACUCAAAUGUAUAAGCAAACAUUGGUCUAGGCAUGUGGAAAAAUUGUGUUAUCUUCCUGGCAUGGUAUCUUCCUGGUGUUCAACAUGAAAGUUGCAGCCCUGAUAGGAGACUCACUCGUGCCACAGGUGCCAUGUUGAGUGAGAGCUGCAGUUCUCAGAGACUGAAUGUCUUCACCUUGGAUGGUGGCAGGGGAGUGGUCCCUAUCGAUAAUAGGGGUAUGUAGUGAUGGUCAUUGCAUCCUUGGAGGGGUGUUAAUUCCUGAACUGGAGGCUCAGCCAGUGCACCCACUCCCAUUCGCAUGUCACAGACACCUGUAUAGAAUAAGGGCCGGAGAUAACUAUAUGGCUUUCCCACGGGACCAAUGUUCCAUCCUGGAGGAUGGGUUUUGUGUACGGAAAACCUGAAGUCAGGACAAGCCUUAUCUCAAAUGUUGGGACCUGACUUAAUGGUGCAUGUAAUGUAAUUUCAUGGAUGAUACAGCAGUGAGGAAGGACGCCAUUAUCUGGUGUGGCUGUGGGUGGUUAACUGUGGCAGGCAAGCCUUGCUUAAAUAUCUCGUUCUUCCUAUUGUGUUAAGCUUUUUAAAAAUAUUAUGAAAAACGUGGUAGGGCAAUUACAGUGAUUCAGUGGCUAGAAGGGUUUGCUAUUGUGGAAACAAAAAUUCCAUGGGGAAUGGAUUUGGGUUGUGUUCUCACAGUGGUAUGUGGACUUAUUAUUUUGAUUGUAAAUAUUAUUAUGUAUUAUUUCAUUCUGUUGUCAAAAUCAUAGUUAAUUAUUGAUAAAGUUAAUUAUUGCUCCUAAUAAAUACAAGGAAGUGGUGUUAGUGGGGUCUAAGAAUUGUUCUUACCCCAAAACCAAAUGGGGGAGCUGAAGGGGAUGCUUGUGUUCAUUUUGGAUACAAUGUGCUUUGCAGGGUACUUGUGCCUAGGGAAGCCCGCUGUGGCUCACCAGCCUCGGAACAUUCUAGAGAAAGCCAGGGGGAGGGGUUGAGCUCAGCAGGUGGCAUGGAGCACUAUGAGCAUGUGAUAAACAUGGGUUUGUUUAACUGUGAUUGGUUAGAGCUUCCUGUUCUGUAAGUUGUUCUAUAACUUGUUCUAUAAGUGCCAUGUGCUAUAAACUAGCAAGGGGAGGGGCUCCUGGCUGGAGGGACUCUGCCUGAUUCUUUGUCCCAGGGGCUCUCCUUGUGCACAUAUUGAAUAAAGCCUUGUUGAAUUGAAUCACAUGGAAUCGAAGUCCCUUGAUUCUACCCAGCAUCAGACUCACUGGGAAGCACAAAAUCCCAACACAGGGUAAGCAGAUUCAUAUAGCCCAGAGAACGCCCUCUAGCCUUAGGUUCACAGUUACAGCAAACAGAGGUCAAAUCCUCUCAGCCAAAAGGAACAUUUACAAGCUGAGAAAACAAAAAUAAGACUAACACGCCUUGCCUGACUAUUACUUACAAGUUUGAAACAUGAGAGACUGAUGCAGUGGGGUGUUGUGGGGCGGAUGGGUCUCUUCUUUUGGGAGACGUGUAACAAUUUCUGUAGAAGAGCAGUUCUCCAGUCUACUUAGUGUCCCUCUCCUGUCUAGCCAGGGGCGGCUCUAGGAAUUGUGCCGCCCCAAGCAGGGCGGCGCACUGCAGGGGGCGCUCGGGCGGUCGCCUGUCC